CAAGUUAGAGAGAGAAAUAAGAUAGAGAUAGAACUAGAGAAAGAUGGGUGGCCGCGGUGGCGUUUAGCGGCAAUUCGCGGUGGCCGGUGGUGGCCGGUGGUGGCCGGAGGUGGUCGGAGUUGUGGGUUUCAACCUGGAACCAAUUAGGGAUGCUACGAACGUAAUGGAUCAUGUCAAGGUGGGUGGAUGCAUGGAAGGCUAACAGAAUGGAUGCGAGGAAGCAAGUACGAAACAGACGCUUAAGGUUACACGGACAACAUUAUCAUCAUGAAGAACAAGCGGAUAAAGAUCGAGAUAAAGAGCAUGGAUUGUACGGGAGGGUAGUCACAUAGAUUGUAUUUCCAUGUUAUUCUUGAUACGGUAAUUUAGAAUGAAUAAUGUUUUUCUAUAAAAAGAGUCGUUUUAAAUGCUU